GAAAACGAAUUUUUAGCAUCUGCUGUGCUUUCAUCCAUGAAAUCUCCAAUUCAUUUUCCAGCUACAAGCCAGAAAAGCCAGGGAUUUCCAGAAACCCCCAGAAGCUUGAAGAGGCAAGGAAGAUGCAAGGAAGAAUUCUUCCCUAGAACCUUCAGAGGAAGCAUGACUGCUGACAGCAUGAUUUUGGGCUUCUAGCCUCCAGAACUAUGAGAGACUAAGCUUCCGUUGUUUAGAGCCAUCUGAUUUUUGUAAUUUAUUAUGGAAGUCCCAGAAAACUAAUAUACUUGGUGAUAUUAUAAUUCUAUGUUUGUCUUUUUAAGGAACUGUCAAAUUAAUUCACUGGUGCCUGCAUCAUAUUACAGUCCCACCAGCAAUGAGGUUUCUCCUCCUCACCAACAAUUGGUUUCAACACCAAUAAUUCUCUUCCUUUUUUUUUCUUUUUUUUUUAAAGACAGUCAAAUUUAGCAGUGGAGAGUUGUAUACCAACUUCAGUGAUGCUGAUGUUAAUAAGUUCUGGUAAACCACCAUCAUCAGGCCAGUGAUUCUCUUCCUUACUAUCCUCGGACCAGCGAUUCUCUUCCUUUCUUUUCCUCACCAAUAAUUCUUUUCAUUUUCUUUUUAAAAAAAUUAUAACCAUCCUAGUGGGUAUAAAGUGGUAUUGCAUUGCAGUUUUGAUUUGCAUUUCUUUAGCAACUAACAAUAUUCAGCAUAUUCAGCAUCUUUUCAUGUGCUUAUUUGCCACUUGUGUAUCUUUUUUGGAAAAAUAUCUAUUAAAAUCUGUUAUCCAUUUUAAA